CAGCCCGUCUCGAGAGGGUGCGAUAGGGCCCUGGGGGAAGGUGUGCGCCGGGCGGGGCGGGGCGGGGCGGGGCGGGGGGGUGCCCGGCUCGCAGCAGGCAGCUCCCGGGGGCCGGCGAUGGCAGGCGGUGGCGGGCGAUGGCCUCGGCCAAAGGACGGGGAGCGAAGUCCGGGAGGCAGCGGAACCGGGGUGCAGGGUGCGGUGAGGCGACCAGGGCGGGCGAGGUCCGGGACCUGGCAUUUGGGUCUCCCGGCCGCAGGCGCGCGCGCGAGGGUUUCAGCCUGUGUCUAGGGAAUGACAUUGGACACCACUACAUUCUGAACACAUGGCUGAAGCAGUCAACCACAGUGAGUGACCCGGAGGAAGCGCUGGGACGCCGGGGCCAAUACCGCGAGGGUUCAGCACCAACGGUUGUUCCGGCUCGGCCUAAGGGAGAUGCGCGGGGCGGACCGCAGAGGGCGCGUUAGCGGCGCGUCCAGGUCGCGGCCGGCGGGCCCGCUGCUCCGCCUCCG
rnacentral:lncRNA from 1 species